GGGAGUUUCAGCGCCUUCUAGGAUAUUGCUCCAUAUCGUGAAACUUAUAGACGCUCGGACUCUUAAUCCGUUGGUCACAGGUUCGAAUCCCGUACGGCCUACCA
rnacentral:tRNA from 2 species